UCAGAACGAACGCUGGCGGCAGGCCUAACACAUGCAAGUCGAACGCUCCGCAAGGAGAGUGGCAGACGGGUGAGUAACACAUGGGAAUCUUCCUAUCGGUACGGAAUAGCUCAGGGAAACUUGAGGUAAUACCGCAUACGCCUUCGGGGGAAAGAUUUAUCGCCGAUAGAUGAGCCCGCGUCUGAUUAGCUAGUUGGUGGGGUAAUGGCCUACCAAGGCGACGAUCAGUAGCUGGUCUGAGAGGAUGACCAGCCACACUGGGACUGAGACACGGCCCAGACUCUACGGGAGGCAGCAGUGGGGAAUAUUGGACAAUGGGCGCAAGCCUGAUCCAGCCAUGCCGCGUGAGUGACGAAGGUCUUCGGAUUGUAAAGCUCUUUUGCCAGGGACGAUAAUGACGGUACCUGGAGAAUAAGCCCCGGCUAACUUCGUGCCAGCAGCCGCGGUAAUACGAAGGGGGCUAGCGUUGUUCGGAAUUACUGGGCGUAAAGCGCACGUAGGCGGAUUUGUUAGUCAGGGGUGAAAUCCCGGGGCUCAACCUCGGAACUGCCUUUGAUACUGCAAGUCUAGAGUCCGGAAGAGGUGAGUGGAAUUCCUAGUGUAGAGGUGAAAUUCGUAGAUAUUAGGAAGAACACCAGUGGCGAAGGCGGCUCACUGGUCCGGUACUGACGCUGAGGUG
rnacentral:rRNA from 1 species